AGAGUUUGAUCAUGGCUCAGAACGUACGCUGGCGGCACGCCUAAUACAUGCAAGUCGAACGAAGUAGCAAUACUUAGUGGCAGACGGGUGAGUAACAUGUAGGUAUCUUCCCAUUGGUGAGGAAUAACACGAGGAAACUUGUGCUAAUACCUCAUAAGUCUUCACGGAGAAAGCUUUAUGCGCCGAUGGAUGAGCCUGCACUUGAUUAGUUUGUUGGUAGGGUAAUGGCCUACCAAGACAAUGAUCAAUAGCUGAUUUGAGAGGAUGAUCAGCCACAUUGGGACUGAGACACGGCCCAAACUCCUACGGGAGGCAGCAGUAGGGAAUCUUGCACAAUGGGGGAAACCCUGAUGCAGCGAUGCCGCGUGAGUGAAGAAGGCCUUUGGGUUGUAAAGCUCUUUCGUCGGGGAAGAAAAUGACUGUACCCGAAUAAGAAGGUCCGGCUAACUUCGUGCCAGCAGCCGCGGUAAUACGAAGGGACCUAGCGUAGUUCGGAAUUACUGGGCUUAAAGAGUUCGUAGGUGGUUAAAAAAGUUGGUGGUGAAAUCCCAGAGCUUAACUCUGGAACUGCCAUCAAAACUUUUUAGCUAGAGUAUGAUAGAGGAAAGCAGAAUUUCUAGUGUAGAGGUGAAAUUCGUAGAUAUUAGAAAGAAUACCAAUUGCGAAGGCAGCUUUCUGGAUCAUUACUGACACUGAGGAACGAAAGCAUGGGUAGCGAAGAGGAUUAGAUACCCUCGUAGUCCAUGCCGUAAACGAUGUGUGUUAGACGUUGGAAAUUUAUUUUCUGUGUCGCAGCGAAAGCAAUAAACACACCGCCUGGGGAGUACGACCGCAAGGUUAAAACUCAAAUGAAUUGACGGGGACCCGCACAAGUAGUGGAGCAUGUGGUUUAAUUCGAAGAUACGCGCAGAACCUUACCAACACUUGACAUGUUCGUCGCGACUUUAAGAGAUUAAAGUUUUCGGUUCGGCCGGACGAAACACAGGUGCUGCAUGGCUGUCGUCAGCUCGUGUCGUGAGAUGUUGGGUUAAGUCCCGCAACGAGCGCAACCCUCACUUUUAGUUGCCAUCAUUUAGUUGGGCACUCUGAAAGAACUGCCAGUGAUAAGCUGGAGGAAGGUGGGGAUGACGUCAAGUCCUCAUGGCCCUUACGUGUUGGGCUACACACGUGCUACAAUGGCAUUUACAAUAGGAAGCAAGACGGCGACGUUAAGCAAAUCCUAAAAAAAUGCCUCAGUUCGGAUUGUACUCUGCAACUCGAGUACAUGAAGCUGGAAUUACUAGUAAUCGCGGAUCAGCGCGCCGCGGUGAAUACGUUCCCGGGUCUUGUACACACCGCCCGUCACACCAUGGGAGUUGGUUCUACCUUAAGGCAAAGUUUAAAACCUUUGACCACGGUAUAGUCAGCGACUGGGGUGAAGUCGUAACAAGGUAACCG
rnacentral:rRNA from 1 species